GAGGGUAUAGCUCAAGUGGUAGAGCACAUGCUUAGCAUUCAUGAGGUCGUGGGUUCAAUCCCCAGUACCUCCU
rnacentral:tRNA from 1 species